AACCUUAUCUAUACCACCGCCACCUUUGACCUUUCUUUUCAAGGUCCACUUUUCACUUGGCCUAAUAAACAUACCGAAAACCCCAUAGCCAAUAAACGUGAUCGAACAUUGAUCAAUGAAGCUUGGAUCAUUACCUUCCCACCAAGCCAUGCGACCUUCAACCCACUUCACCCAUCGGAUCACUCCUCCUGUUUAAUAUCUCUUGAAACUCACACAAAAUCCCACCAAAAACCAUUCAAAGUAUUCAACUUUAUACUUGAUCACCCUCGAUUUAUACCCACUAUUGCUACCUCUUAGCACAUGACGGGACAAGGAGCUUCAACUCUAUCGGCUUUUCACCAGAAAAUCAGGAUCUCUAUUAAAACCUUGUGUAAAGAUAACUGUAGCGGUAUUCAGAAAAGGGUACUCGAUUCACACUCUCUUUUGUUACAUGCGCAGGAACAUGCUCUUCAUAAUCCGACUAGACAUUCAUUUGCUGAGGACACAAAUGUCUGGAACGUUGGACGCACCUCAAAGAGAUUGAGGAGAAAUUUAUGAAGCAAAAAGCACGUGUUCACUGGCUGCGAGUUGGAGAUCAGAAUACAAGAUAUUUCUACAGAUCUCUUCUACUCAGAAGGUCAAGUAAUGCUAUACGCCAUCUGAUUACCUCGGAGGGACAACGAGUUGUAAAUCCAGAUAGUAUUUCGUCAAUGGUAGUGGAUUACUCUAAAUCUAUUCUUGGCCCGACCUGCCCGCAAAGACAGGCAUUACUCGAUCCCAAUCUCGCAUGGGAGCCUAUGUCUCACGUGCCCCUGAUGAUGUGCUCCGUGCAGCUGGCCUCUCCUUCACUGAUUCGGAAAUAAAGGUUGCGCUUAUGCUUAUGCCUUCGAAUAAAACACCUGACGUAGACGGAUUUACAACUGAGUUUUAUAAGAAAACCUAGGACAUACUUGGCGCUGAAUUCACGCAGUUAGUCCGACAUUUUCUUAGCUCAGGUUUCCUUCCAAAGUCAGUCAAUGCAACUACUAUAGUACUAAUACCAAAGGUGGAAGGUGCAGAAAACCUAGUGGAUUUCUGGCCUAUAUCAUGCUGCAAUACUAUUUACAAAGGUAAUUAGUAAACUCCUUUCUUCACAGCUCAAACUGAUUAUAGAGGCUAUAACACCCCGGAAUCAAUAUGCUUAUGUGACUGGUCGAAGCAUUAUGGAGAACUGCUUCCUUGCUGCAGAAAGUCUGCAAGGUUAUCACAAGCUGAACAUCUCGAGCAGAGCCACCUUUAAACUAGACAUUGCAAAAGCAGUUGACUUAAUUAAAUGGGUUUUUAUCUUGUCAGUUCUGAAUGUUCUCGGUCUUCCUCGACGUCUCACUUCACUUAUUGAGGCUUGUAUUACCAUGACACACUACUCUGUAGCAAUCAAUGGGGGACUGUUUGGAUAUUUCCCUGGCACUAGAGGUUUGCGACAAGGUUGUCCAUUAUCUCCUUAUCUAAUCAUUCUGAGUAUGUCUGUCCUUUCAGCGAUGCUAGAUAAAGUUGCGGAAGAAGACCGCCCAUUUGGCCUUCGUCGAUGAUCUCCUUGUUUUUACUAACGAGUCAAACUCUUCCUUAAAAUCCUUAAUAAAAGUGCUUAACCACUUUGGAGAGGACUCGUAUAUUAUUAACAGAACCAAAUUAAGUAUCUAUACAGGGGGAUGCUCGCAUGAUCAGAUUCAACGUAUGAGUGCACUCACUGGUAUUGAACAGGCAAGCCUUCUCUUUCAUUAUUUGGGUAUUCCCCUUUCCUCCCGAAAACUUUCUGCUAUUGAUUGUCUUCCAUUGCAUGGAAAAAUCAGAACCAGAAUUGAAUCUUGGUCUGCCAGGUCUCUCUCAUUUUCAGUCAGACUUCAACUAUUAGGUUUAAUAAUCUCCAGAAUCAUUGGCUAUUGGUGCAAUGCGUUUAUACUACCGAAACAAACCAUCAAGCAAAUCAAUGCUCUCUGCUCAACUUUCUUUUGGCAAGGCAAAUCUGAACCAUCGAGAGGGGCAAAUGAGAGAGACCUGGGCUUCUACUUUCUUCAAUAUACAGCUUGGCAACGGAAGUCAUACCAAGUUCUGGUUUGACCCUUGGACCCUGAUGGGCUAACUUAUUAAUUUUCUUGGCAGAGGAGGUCCAACACAUCUAGGCAUUAUUCUUCAAGCUUUUGUCUCAGAGUCAUUCUUGAACGAGGAAAGCAAAUGACAGAGUUGGUAGCGAAGGAAAGAUGGAAAAUUGUAAACCAAUCUACUCAAUCAAUCGACUGGACGGAUUCCAUCUGGUACAAACACCACAUUUCCAAGCAUGCUUUCGCUUGCUGGAUCAUCAAUCUCGACCGAUGCCCAACGAAAUCAAGGUUAUUUAUCUUGGGGUCUGAAUGUGGAUCUUCUUUGUCUCCUCUGCAAAGUCCAUGUGGAGACUAGAGAUCAUAUAUUUUUCAAAUGUGCUUAUUCUUCGGAGGUUCGUCAGAUACUCUAGGUAAAUUAGGGUACAUACACCCUAAUUCCUCUUGGCUCAAUAUUUUAUAGAUGUUAGGCUCCAUCCGAGGGUGCAAAACCAGGAGAUGGACAACCCAUUUAGUCUGGCAGAUUGCUACCUAUGCGAUCUGGAAAGAGAGGCCUACUAAUCAGAGAUUGAUAGACAGUUCCGCUCACGAAUUUCGGUGCUCAGACACGGCACCAAAUUUGGUUGGAUCCAGUAUCCAGCUUUGGUUUGCUUCUGUUAACUGAAUGUUGGAACACGACUCACUCUUUUUUGGGGUUAUAUAUUACCACAGCGGCACGACCCCUGUCCUUUUGCUACUUAUCUUUGUCUUAAUACUCUGCAACUGAUGUGGCCACUAUGUAUAACAAAUAAAAAAUAAAAAAUAUAUUUAUAUC